UACACACAAGCACAAACAGGUAGGAUAGUAGUUCUGAUACACACAGACAUACAAACACAAACAGGUAGGAUGGUACUUCUCACACACACACACACACACACACACACACACACACACACACACACACACACACACACACAGGUAGGCAUAUAGUUCUCAUACAUACAGACACACACACACAAACACGUAGGCUAUAGUAGUCAUACACACACUUUUAGAAAUCUUAUUUUUAGUCUCCUAAUAGUU